AGAGUUUGAUCCUGGCUCAGAAUCAACGCUGGCGGCGUGCCUAACACAUGCAAGUCGAACGCGAAAGUCCCGCAAGGGAUAAGUAGAGUGGCAAACGGGUGAGUAACACGUGGGUGACCUGCCUUCGAGCGGGGGAUAACGUCCCGAAAGGGACGCUAAUACCGCAUGACAUCCUGCCUUUGAAGAGGUGGAGAUCAAAGCCGGGGACCGCAAGGCCUGGCGCUUAAAGAGGGGCCCGCGCCUGAUUAGCUAGUUAAUGAGGUAAUGGCUCACCAAGGCAACGAUCAGUAUCCGGCCUGAGAGGGCGGACGGACACACUGGGACUGAGACACGGCCCAGACUCCUACGGGAGGCAGCAGUGGGGAAUUGUUCGCAAUGGGCGCAAGCCUGACGACGCAACGCCGCGUGGAGGAUGAAGACCUUCGGGUCGUAAACUCCUUUCGAUCGAGACGAACAGCCAUCGGGUGAAUAAUCCGGAGGUUUGACGGUACCGAGAGAAGAGGCCCCGGCUAACUCCGUGCCAGCAGCCGCGGUAAUACGGGGGGGGCAAGCGUUGUUCGGAAUUACUGGGCGUAAAGGGCUCGUAGGUUGCCAACUAGGUCAGACGUGAAAUCCCUCNGCUUAACCGGGGAACUGCGUCUGAUACUGGAUGGCUUGAGUUCGGGAGAGGGAUGCGGAAUUCCAGGUGUAGCGGUGAAAUG
rnacentral:rRNA from 1 species